rnacentral:rRNA from 1 species
GACGAUCAGAUACCGUCGUAGUCUUAACUAUAAAUGAUGCAAACCAGGGAUAGGACAGUGUCCAUCUCGACUCCUCCUGAACCUUGGAGAAAUUACAGUCUAUGGGUUCUGGGGGGAGUAUGGUCGCAAGGCUGAAACUUAAAGGAAUUGACGGAAGGGCACACAAAGAGUGGAACCUGCGGCUUAGUUUGACUCAACACGGGAAAACUCACCAGGUCCGGAUACACGUAUGAAAGUCAAGCUGAAAGACUUUACUCAAUGAUGUAAGUGGUGGUGCAUGGUCGUUCUUAGUUCGUGGAUUGAUUUGUCUGGUCUAUUCCGAUAACGAGCGAGACCCCGGCGUUCCUAAUAGGGGCGGCAGCCAAGCUGGUCGCAAGAUCGGCUAGCUCGCCGCCUGAAGUUAUACUUCUUAGACGUAUCAGAGCCGACAAGGUUCUUGAAAUGGGUUAAUAACAGGUCAGUCAUGCCCUUAGAUGUUCUGGGCCGCACGCGCGUUACAAUGGCACGUA